GGCUCGUUAGCUUAGUUGGUUAGAGCGUCACGCUGAAUUUGUUGAAGGUCGUGGGUUCAAAUCCCACACGAGCCC